UACGUAGGGGCCAAGCGUUGUCCGGAUUUAUUGGGCGUAAAGAGCUCGUAGGCGGUUUGUCGCGUCUGCUGUGAAAACCCGAGGCUCAACCUCGGGCCUGCAGUGGGUACGGGCAGACUAGAGUGCGGUAGGGGAGAUUGGAAUUCCUGGUGUAGCGGUGGAAUGCGCAGAUAUCAGGAGGAACACCGGUGGCGAAGGCGGAUCUCUGGGCCUUACCUGACGCUCAGGCACGAAAGCUAGGGGAGCGAACAGG
rnacentral:rRNA from 1 species